rnacentral:rRNA from 1 species
CUACGUAGGUGACAAGCGUUAUCCGGAUUUACUGGGCGUAAAGGGCGUGUAGGCGGUCUUGCAAGUCAGAAGUGAAAUUCCUGAGCUCAACUCGGGCGCUGCUUCUGAAACUGCAGGACUUGAGUGCUGGAGGGGAUAGCGGAAUUCCUAGUGGAGCGGUAAAAUGCGCAGAUAUUAGGAAGAACACCGGUGGCGAAGGCGGCUAUCUGGACAGUAACUGACGCUGAGGCGCGAAAGCGUGGGGAGCAAACAGGAUUAGAUCCCCUGGUAGUCCACGCCGUAAACGAUGAAUACUAGGUGUAGGGGGUAUCGACUCCCUCUGUGCCGCAGUUAACACAAUAAGUAUUCCGCCUGGGGAGUACGGCCGCAAGGUUGAAACUCAAAUGAAUUGACGGGG